rnacentral:rRNA from 1 species
GUUGAAGCAUGAUCGCAAGGACAUGUGGAGCGCUUAGAAGUGAGAAUGCCGGUGUGAGUAGCGAAAGACGGGUGAGAAUCCCGUCCACCGAUUGACUAAGGUUUCCAGAGGAAGGCUCGUCCGCUCUGGGUUAGUCGGGUCCUAAGCUGAGGCCGACAGGCGUAGGCGAUGGAUAACAGGUUGAUAUUCCUGUACCACCAUUAUUCGUUUUAAGCGAUGGGGGGACGCAGUAGGAUAGGCGAAGCGUGCUGUUGGAGUGCACGUCCAAGCAGUGAGAUUGAGUGUUAGGCAAAUCCGGCACUCUUAAGAUUGAGCUGUGAUGGGGAGAGGAACUUGUUCCUCGAGUCGUUGAUUUCACACUGCCGAGAAAAGCCUCUAGCUAGAAUAACGGUGCCCGUACCGCAAACCGACACAGGUAGUCAAGAUGAGAAUUCUAAGGUGAGCGAGCGAACUCUCGUUAAGGAACUCGGCAAAAUGACCCCGUAACUUCGGGAGAAGGGGUGCUCUUUGAGGUUCACGCUUCGAAGAGCCGCAGUGAAUAGGCCCAAGCGACUGUUUAUCAAAAACACAGGUCUCUGCUAAACCGUAAGGUGACGUAUAGGGGCUGACGCCUGCCCGGUGCUGGAAGGUUAAGAGGAGUGGUUAGCGCAAGCGAAGCUACGAAUCGAAGCCCCAGUAAACGGCGGCCGUAACUAUAACGGUCCUAAGGUAGCGAAAUUCCUUGUCGGGUAAGUUCCGACCCGCACGAAAGGCGUAACGAUUUGGGCACUGUCUCAACGAGAGACUCGGUGAAAUCAUAGUACCGGUGAAGAUGCCGGUUACCCGCGACAGGACGGAAAGACCCCGUGGAGCUUUACUGUAGCCUGAUAUUGAAAUUCGGUACAGUUUGUACAGGAUAGGUAGGAGCCUUAGAAGCGUGAGCGCUAGCUUACGUGGAGGCAUUGGUGGGAUACUACCCUAAUUGUAUUGGAUUUCUAACCCGCAGCACUUAUCGUGCUGGGAGACAGUGUCAGGCGGGCAGUUUGACUGGGGCGGUCGCCUCCUAAAGAGUAACGGAGGCGCUCAAAGGUUCCCUCAGAAUGGUUGGAAAUCAUUCAUAGAGUGUAAAGGCAUAAGGGAGCUUGACUGCGAGACCUACAAGUCGAGCAGGGUCGAAAGACGGACUUAGUGAUCCGGUGGUUCCGCAUGGAAGGGCCAUCGCUCAACGGAUAAAAGCUACCCCGGGGAUAACAGGCUUAUCUCCCCCAAGAGUUCACAUCGACGGGGAGGUUUGGCACCUCGAUGUCGGCUCAUCGCAUCCUGGGGCUGUAGUCGGUCCCAAGGGUUGGGCUGUUCGCCCAUUAAAGCGGUACGCGAGCUGGGUUCAGAACGUCGUGAGACAGUUCGGUCCCUAUCCGUCGUGGGCGUAGGAAAUUUGAGAGGAGCUGUCCUUAGUACGAGAGGACCGGGAUGGACAUACCUCUGGUGUACCAGUUGUCGUGCCAACGGCAUAGCUGGGUAGCUAUGUAUGGACGGGAUAAGUGCUGAAAGCAUCUAAGCAUGAAGCCCCCCUCGAGAUGAGAUUUCCCAACUUCGGUUAUAAGAUCCCUCAAAGAUGAUGAGGUGAAU